CCUACGGGUGGCAGCAGUCGAGAAUCAUUCACAAUGGGGGAAACCCUGAUGGUGCGACGCCGCGUGGGGGAAUGAAGGUCUUCGGAUUGUAAACCCCUGUCAUGUGGGAGCAAAUUAAAAAGAUAGUACCACAAGAGGAAGAGACGGCUAACUCUGUGCCAGCAGCAGCGGUAAUACAGAGGUCUCAAGCUUUGUUCGGAGUCACUGGGCGUAAGGCGUGCGUAGGCUGUUUCGUAAGUCGUGUGUGAAAGGCGCGGGCUCAACCCGCGGACGGCACAUGAUACUGCGAGACUAGAGUAAUGGAGGGGGAACCGGAAUUCUCGGUGUAGCAGUGAAAUGCGUAGAUAUCGAGAGGAACACUCGUGGCGAAGGCGGGUUCCUGGACAUUAACUGACGCUGAGGCACGAAGGCCAGGGGAGCGAAAGGGAUUAGAUACCCCUGUAGUC
rnacentral:rRNA from 1 species